rnacentral:rRNA from 1 species
CGGAGGCGGGGCGAGGUCAGGUGGUGGUGGGUGGUCGCGGCAGGGAGGGAGGCGUGUGGUUGUGGGAGGGGGAGUGGAUCGGUCGAUGGAGACAGCGGCGCGCGCGCCUCCCGGCAUUAGCGGAACGGGAAGAAGGGGGUUAGGGGUGGAUUGGGGGAGGCUGGGGGCUAAGCGGCUCGCGCGGAGGCGUCGGGAAGGUGGGCUGGUGCGGCGGCGGGGGCUCCUUGAGGGUAGGGGUGGCGUCGGGCCGGGCAGGGCGGGGAUGACCUGACCGCGCCUCGCCUCCUCUAGACGGGGCUGGAGCCAAGGGAGGAGGAUGACACCCCGUAUUUGAUCGUGCUGGUUGUCUACCCAUCGAUGACUAACUUCGAGCUGGUAAACUACACUUGUAAAACGUAAGGAAGUCACGAAUUCUACCGCCAACCUGAUUGUAGGGUCGACAAGGUUCCUCAGUGACGAUGGUUGUCUAAGCCGGUUUGGUUGUUAAAGACACCUCAUGUUGCUUAUCGACCACACCUCUACGCUGCAAGAGGGGGUAGGUGAAGUAAAGGAAGUGAACGAAUACCCGUUCUAAGGAACCACGUAUUGAGCAGGCCCUCCUUGAUGUACGGGUACGAAAUACACGGAAUAUCUAUAGCCCGGAACGCACAAUCUAGAAAACAGAACGGUCAACGAAACUUCCUUUAAGGAAACCACUUCUCACGCAGUAAUCAUAACUGAUCCAGUACGCUGUGAAAUGAACGUUUAGGUCGAUGACGUGAGCACCAUGGACGUUAACCUUAUUAACAUAAACGAGAUACCCCAAAAAACGGAGAUCACUUCCUGUAGUCUUUGGCAAAACUAGUACCUCCAUUGACCUUUUUCUCGGGAUGUAUGGAUUAAAGAUCAAGGAUGGAAGUUGGAAAUGAGGAAACCUGUCCCCGUUGUGAAUAGACGUCCCCAAACCUAGGUCAGCACAACGGAAGUCGUCGUUCGGUUCGACAAUUUUGCGCGGAAAACUGAAAACACUCUAGGAAUAGCUGGCAGGACCGAUGACGUAUAUAAUACUGUUCGAACUAAGUCGUCCAUGUCUUUAAAGAUCACCUGUAUGCUUCGGGGUCACUAUGUGCUCGAUACCCCAACCUAAAAUGGUACUCUCGACAAAUGUGACCAUAGACCUAACGACGACAAAGAGAGAAAUACCUCAACGACCCAAAGUUAUGGGUCUUCACCUAUUGACGACCUCCAAAGCCCUGUCAUAACGAAUGCGAACGACCAGCACUCUAAAAAUGUUUAAAGGAGAGUUCACAAUACUAGUUACGGUGGGCGGGUAAACAUCACUCACUUACCUAGUUACGUUUCUAUCUACCACAACUCCAUAGACCAUAACAACUCGUACAACCGGACACCAGUGGUUGUUAGUAAUCUCCGCUACUGUCUCUUCGAUAUAUGUAGGGAUUAGUAUUUAAGUGUUACAGAUAUAACUCCUUAUUGUGAGCCUCUUUGGUAACCGCAUAAUUCUGUAUAGAACGAUAUUCGGUGUACCUGCGACCUUUUUAACCAUAUUAACAACGUCUGUACUCCUUUCACAACCGGUUCUUAGUAGUAUAACUUGUUGUCUUCAACGUAUCCUCUCAUAAGAAACUUUUUUAACUAGGCUUUUGAGUUCGAGAAUACUAUAUGUAUAGGACGAAACACUUCUGUAGCGUAAAACUUCUCAUAGAUUUACAGGUCCUUCGACAAUACAACCUAGAAGAAUGUUAUCAACCCGUGGUGUCCCGUUCCGAACGGUGCGUCUAGGCUUGUCAAGUCUUUAGUAUACCGUUGCGUCUGUAACUGUUGUAAGGAAAACCUCUCCUAUGUAUAUCAGGAGCACGUGCACCGGCAGGUGAGGACUAGCUAUGAAGACGUUCCUAGUCACUGCUGUUCUUUGGAGGAGCUGGUCACCAUCGUGCACUUCUAGUCUUUCGUUUCCACCGGUCACAUAGUCGCCAUCUCUGCUUCAGUCUACGUGGACUACCAAGAUCAAAUUUGUUGAGCCUCUUCGUCCUCCUCUUUUUCAACCAAGGUCUGCUACGACCCAACUUCUUCCUAGUACACUUUUGUUGUUAUGGUAGAGGGUGUUGAGGUACCCGUCUAGGACAACGCAGAUGAUGAAGGUUCUGACUACUUCCCUUCCGAGUUCCUAGUCUUCCUGUUCCCCUACCAAGAAGUCAACGAUGCGGUUUCUUCCUUAGAUCAUCUGGACGGAAACUUCUGUUGUAACAAGAACCACAUCGAGAGCUCCCGAGCUUCUCCUGUGAGGGUUAGCUACUUCCUUACUUGGGAGUAGAUAGCGAUAGACUUGGACUCGUUCUGCGACCAAGCAGCGGAUUCUUCUUUCCAGUUUCGAUGAGUGAAAGUCCGGUUCUCUUCCGCCUGAUCUGUCCGUAGCUAGCGACAGUCCGAACACUGCAGUGUUCUCUUUAUAAGACAUGUAUACCACGUAGACGACCGACAUUGCUAGAAGAUCUAUUUCAACUAAAUACAACCAAGAACCACCAGAUCCACCUAAGAACACUAUAACCUUAGUACAAGGCGACGGUAGUCGAUGUCUGACUGACUUUACGAGACGAACUACGUCUCGCUCACACAUUUCCCGUAAAGCUUUGGUGAACUGUACGUUUAUCGUAGGCUUAACCCACCAGUACAUCAUGUACCUACGACACUACCUACUAGCUAAAGUUCUAAAAAAACUCUUCUGUAUGUAAAUGUA